rnacentral:rRNA from 1 species
CUACGGGCGGCUCCAGUCGAGAAUCUUCGGCAAUGGACGAAAGUCUGACCGAGCGACGCCGCGUGCGGGAUGAAGGCCUUCGGGUUGUAAACCGCUGUCAGAGGGAAGGAAAUUUUGACCGAUCCUCAAAGGAAGUACGGGCUAAGUUCGUGCCAGCAGCCGCGGUAAGACGAACCGUACAAACGUUAUUCGGAAUCACUGGGCUUAAAGGGUGCGUAGGUGGUCUAUUAAGUUGGGUGUGAAAUCCCUCGGCUCAACCGAGGAACUGCGCUCAAUACUGGUAGACUUGAGGGAGAUAGAGGUGAGCGGAACUGAUGGUGGAGCGGUGAUAUGCGUUGAUAUCAUCGGGAACACCUGUGGCGAAAGCGGCUCACUGGAUCUCUUCUGACACUGAGGCACGAAAGCUAGGGGAGCGAACGGGAUUAGAUACCCCUGUAGUC